rnacentral:rRNA from 1 species
UGCAGUCGAGCGAAUGGAUUAAGAGCUUGCUCUUAUGAAGUUAGCGGCGGACGGGUGAGUAACACGUGGGUAACCUGCCCAUAAGACUGGGAUAACUCCGGGAAACCGGGGCUAAUACCGGAUAAUAUUUUGAACCGCAUGGUUCGAAAUUGAAAGGCGGCUUCGGCUGUCACUUAUGGAUGGACCCGCGUCGCAUUAGCUAGUUGGUGAGGUAACGGCUCACCAAGGCAACGAUGCGUAGCCGACCUGAGAGGGUGAUCGGCCACACUGGGACUGAGACACGGCCCAGACUCCUACGGGAGGCAGCAGUAGGGAAUCUUCCGCAAUGGACGAAAGUCUGACGGAGCAACGCCGCGUGAGUGAUGAAGGCUUUCGGGUCGUAAAACUCUGUUGUUAGGGAAGAACAAGUGCUAGUUGAAUAAGCUGGCACCUUGACGGUACCUAACCAGAAAGCCACGGCUAACUACGUGCCAGCAGCCGCGGUAAUACGUAGGUGGCAAGCGUUAUCCGGAAUUAUUGGGCGUAAAGCGCGCGCAGGUGGUUUCUUAAGUCUGAUGUGAAAGCCCACGGCUCAACCGUGGAGGGUCAUUGGAAACUGGGAGACUUGAGUGCAGAAGAGGAAAGUGGAAUUCCAUGUGUAGCGGUGAAAUGCGUAGAGAUAUGGAGGAACACCAGUGGCGAAGGCGACUUUCUGGUCUGUAACUGACACUGAGGCGCGAAA